rnacentral:rRNA from 1 species
CUACCAUGCAGUCGAGCGGCAGCGACACAUUGAACCUUCGGGGGAUUUGUUGGGCGGCGAGCGGCGGACGGGUGAGUAAUGCCUGGGAAAUUGCCCUGAUGUGGGGGAUAACCAUUGGAAACGAUGGCUAAUACCGCAUGAUAGCUUCGGCUCAAAGAGGGGGACCUUCGGGCCUCUCGCGUCAGGAUAUGCCCAGGUGGGAUUAGCUAGUUGGUGAGGUAAGGGCUCACCAAGGCGACGAUCCCUAGCUGGUCUGAGAGGAUGAUCAGCCACACUGGAACUGAGACACGGUCCAGACUCCUACGGGAGGCAGCAGUGGGGAAUAUUGCACAAUGGGCGCAAGCCUGAUGCAGCCAUGCCGCGUGUAUGAAGAAGGCCUUCGGGUUGUAAAGUACUUUCAGCAGUGAGGAAGGGGGUAUCGUUAAUAGCGGUAUCUUUUGACGUUAGCUGCAGAAGAAGCACCGGCUAACUCCGUGCCAGCAGCCGCGGUAAUACGGAGGGUGCGAGCGUUAAUCGGAAUUACUGGGCGUAAAGCGCAUGCAGGUGGUUUGUUAAGUCAGAUGUGAAAGCCCGGGGCUCAACCUCGGAAUUGCAUUUGAAACUGGCAGGCUAGAGUACUGUAGAGGGGGGGUAGAAUUUCAGGUGUAGCGGUGAAAUGCGUAGGGAUCUGAAGGGAAUACCGGGUGGCGAAGGCGGCCCCUGGACAGAUACUGACACUCAGAUGCGAAAGCGGUGGGGGAGCAAACAGGAUUAGAUACCCUGGUAGUCCACGCCGUAAACGAUGUCUACUUGGAGGUUGUGGCCUUGAGC